GACGAAUGCUGGCGGCGUGCCUAAUACAUGCAAGUUGAGCGAUGAAGAUUGGUGCUUGCACCAAUUUGAAGAGCAGCGAACGGGUGAGUAACGCGUGGGGAAUCUGCCUUUGAGCGGGGGACAACAUUUGGAAACGAAUGCUAAUACCGCAUAACAACUUUAAACAUGAGUUUUAAGUUUGAAAGAUGCAAUUGCAUCACUCAAAGAUGAUCCCGGGUUGUAUUAGCUAGUUGGUGAGGUAAAGGCUCACCAAGGCGAUGAUACAUAGCCGACCUGAGAGGGUGAUCGGCCACAUUGGGACUGAGACACGGCCCAAACUCCUACGGGAGGCAGCAGUAGGGAAUCUUCGGCAAUGGACGAAAGUCUGACCGAGCAACGCCGCGUGAGUGAAGAAGGUUUUCGGAUCGUAAAACUCUGUUGGUAGAGAAGAACGUUGGUGAGAGUGGAAAGCUCAUCAAGUGACGGUAACUACCCAGAAAGGGACGGCUAACUACGUGCCAGCAGCCGCGGUAA
rnacentral:rRNA from 1 species